GUUGAGGCACAAAAUUUACGACAGUUUGUUGAGACACAAAAUUUGUGUUGACAGUUUGUUGAGACAAAAUUUGUGUUAAUUCAUCCUUUGAUAGUAUGUUAAGAGAAAAGGCCUUUCUCACCUUCCUGUUCUGUCUCUGUCUUCCCUCCCUUCCUCAGUCUCUAGAAGUAGCAACAUGGUGAUGCAGACACAGCAAUCACCCACACUAUGAUGGUUCUUGAGCUUAUUGUAGUGUCUGCGCUCACCAUUUUUGCUAGACAAAAAGAGAGAGGGAGAGGAAGUAAAGAGAAAGAAAAGGAUGUCAUCAGCGUGUGAAGACAAGUCAUGGAGGGGGCUAUAUUACCUCUAGACAGCUCUAGUCAUUGAAACAAGAUUUGGAAUCAAGAAGCCAUCUGGGCCAUCUUGUAGUUUCCCAUGGAGUGUUCUAUUCAAUCUAAUUAUGUAUGCUUCAUUGCUCACUAUCAAGCCACCAAAAUAGCAUGGCAAUGCAUAUGGCAAACAUGAAAGAAUAAUCUGAGUGCUGAAGCCCACGAAGUGUUUUGAAGGCUGCUACCAAUUCUCAUGUGUCCCUGGUUGAUGGUUCUGGGUCUGUUUUUGGACCAAACCAUCAGAAGUUGAGUACUCGUAGGCGGGAUCAAGUUCUCCAUAUGAAAUAAGAAAGAUAUCUAGUUUGAGCUUCUUGUAUCGUCAA